UCAAGUUGUUCCCAUUGCUGAAAAUACGUACAUUACGAGUCUUAAAGGAUUAACUGGUAGCAAAAAAAUAAACAGUAGUUCUGCUACUAAAGCAGCAUAAAAACAACAGCAAAACCAGCAGCAAAUCCGUGUUAAAACAACCCGAAAACUUAGAGAGGGAACCCAGAAACGAACUCUAAAGAGGACUUAUACUUUUUUAAAAGUUUGCACUCUAAGAUUCACUCCCAAAGGUCACCAUUUCAGCUUACUUUUCAUGUGCUCAUCUGCUGAAAUUAAAAAUCAAUCUUUUUGACAAAUUUUUCUACAAAAUCUUCUCUUAAAUUCAAAAAAUAAAACUUUUUAGUUCAAAUCAUGUCAAGUAUUUCAAACAAAAUCUGCUCUCCACUAUUCAAAGAUAGAUUUUAUUCAAAUAAUGUCCAAAGGUAUACAUUUUCUUACCAAACAAUUUGACUUUUGAGUGUUGUACUCAAAGAGUCUUGAAGCAGUAAACAAACAACCAAACAAGUACCAUAUACUCUUAAGUAUUUUUUAUUACCUCACUUUUAUCAAUACACAACUAUUUUACUACUUCAACAAGUGCAAAAACAGAAAAUUUAACAUUUCAAACUUCAAAAACUAAUGCUAAAAUAAUUAAUAAUAGACAAAAAUAAAAUCUGAAAAUUAAAAAAAAAAAUCAGCCAUGAAAAAGAAUAAUAUUUUACCAUUUUACACAUCAAAAGACCGAAAAAAUGGUGGUAUGCCAAAGAGGGUGUUCCGGGAGGUCGCCGGAAUUAGGCCGGAUUUUGGUCGCCGGAUUUUUGGGGUAGAAUUGACAUCAAUAGCUAGGUCUUGAGGAGCUCUAUCCAUUGAUGUAGGUAUUUUGGGGUGGUAGUGGUUGGAGCUUCAAGAAUUUGGGCAAAAAGAUGACGGGAAAGUUUCUUAGAUCCAAGAUUCAAGGAGUUUGAGGGAUUUUUUUUAGGAUUUGGUUUGGAGAUAUGGAAAGAGGAAGUUGUGGAGAUUACGUGGUGUGAAUUUGGAGGUGUUUGGAGGUGGUCCGCCAGCGGCGGCGAUUUUCGGCAGGCAGCGGUGGGCGGAGCUGGGGCGGCGUAGAGAGAGUGAAGAGAGAGAGAAGAGAGAAGAAGGAGAGGGAAAGAAGAGAGAGGAAAUAAGGGGAAAUGGG
rnacentral:lncRNA from 1 species